UAAAAUUACUUUGUGUUCUCAGUAUGAACAGACAGAACACAUGCCAUGGGAAAUUUACAUCCACUUUUUAUUUCCAUAGAUUAUGAAUCUGUUAAAAAAAUCACAAAAAGCAAAAAAAUGCAGAUCUAAUCUGUGGUUUGUUGGUCUCCAUAUAUUCACCAAUCUUGAAGUUUCUUCUGCAGUAAUUUUAUUGAUUUAAUCAAAUGGCAUUUUUUGUAGGACAAGUGCAUUUUCCUUCUCUGUUGAGGUAAAAGGCCUUUCUUUUCAAUUACUAAAUAUCAAUUAUAGUUCAUUUACAGUAGAAAUUCAGAGAUUGGAUGAAGUUUCAGCCUCGCAGUGGUCAUUGACUCAGGACUAGAUCGAGCAGAGAAUAAGGUCACAUUUUGACUGGAAAGGUAUCUGAUUGUCAGCUGCAACUGUGAAAGAUCAAAUCAAGGACCUAAAACCAAAGAAGUGUUUUGCACUUGGGUGGUGUGAAAUUUGUAUUUUGAUCUGGUUUCACAGACAUUCAAUGAGAGUCUACAUUUGUGGUGGCAUGUAGUCAAAACUACUCUUGGCCAGCUGGAUAACACUUUCCUUUCUUGAAUUCAGAGAAUUAUUACACUGGAUCAUGAAACUUCUAAUUUAAUGGUCAUUAUACCUGAAGAAAUUAUUUUCCUCUCUUGGUGCUGUGUCCUUUUUUGUUUUUCUAACUGCAAGUUUAAUAACUACCAAGACUUACCUUCCUCUUCAGAAGAAACAACUGCUUUUAAUCUAAUGGAAAAAAUGUAUUCGUGAGAAAUCAAUGAUUAUAUCAUCCUAAACAUGCUGCCAACAGCACUAAAGAUGAAGUUUGAUCUCAUUUGGAUUCUGAAGAUAUGGGACAUCAAAAUGUUUUCCCUAGAGGCCAAAGAAGGUGGAACAGUCUUCUCUGGUCUCUUCUUGUUGACUUCUCACAACAUUCUCUAUGACCAGGGAGCUGUGGUCCUUGACAUGUCUGUGCUGACACUUAACCACAAGCCACUUAUCCACUUACUCAGCAACUGUUUCUUAAGUUCUUUUCUGAAGUGUAAGGCUGGUUAUGUACGUCCAUGUAGGCACAUCUCUGUCACCCAGCUGAAUUUCUGCUCAAAGUGGAUUGAUAGAGGUUUACAUGCAUCAAAGGGAGCCUAUUCCUGGCAGAAAGCAUUAGCUGAUCUUUAGCAAGUCCCUUAAAGGAUCUGAAUGGGCUUAAUCUUUACCCUCAACACAGGUUCUUCUACUGUGGUAUUUUUCAGAGUUCAACUUCAGCCACCAGCCUGCACCCCUAGGACCAUUAUUAACCACUACAGCUGUAUCACUUGCAUCAUGAGACUUCUUGAUAUCCAGGAAAACUCAAUCGUCCUGCUAUAAAGAAUGUGGACAUGAAGACCAGCUUGUAUAUUUGUGUUCCCGAAUGUCUUCCACUUGAGGAAAAACCUGUGUGCUAUUGGAUAAGGUCCUGAAACAUAAUUUAAAAGCAUCACCAGAAGGAAAAACCCAUCAUGAAGUGGGAGAAAGUCUUCUUGAACAUUAUUCAUUUGAAUCAUGGAUCUGUAUAGAAGCAGAUAUUGACAUGAUGCAGCUGAUGUGUGACAGAGUACCAAAUGGAUGUCCUUCGAUAAGUCAGUUGUAACUUCCCUAAGCCAUCACUAUUCUCCUAGUGGGCCAUAUUUUUUAGGGAAUUGCUCAGUAUGCGUAUCAGCUUUCCUGGUCCUAAAUUCUUUUAAGCUGCCUAUUUCUUUCAGAGUGAAAAUUUGAGACAGUGUAGCCCAUGAAUUGCUGUGAAGGUGUAGAAGCCACAUUCCUCACUUUUAAGGGACUGGUGUGGUAGCUUAUAGGAGUCUAAUGUUCCAUGCAAUUUAUGAUUUUCCACUUUAUUGAAGAAAUAAUUCUGUUUGUGGUUUUAUGAACUUGCAGUCUUGAAUACACAGUACUGCAGGUCACAAUUUUAUCUAUAGGCUGUUCCAUCUUAAAUGAAGAAAUACUAUAUGUUGUUAAAAUCUUGAUCUACAAGAGUUUGCAAAAAAAAAGUAAUGAUGUUUGACUUAAAAUGCAAUUUUUAAAAGUUGAACAUUUCUUAUUAAAAUUUCUU